rnacentral:rRNA from 1 species
GUAGGUGGCAAGCGUUGUCCGGAAUUAUUGGGCGUAAAGCGCGCGCAGGCGGUUCUUUAAGUCUGAUGUGAAAGCCCACGGGCUCAACCGUGGAGGGUCAUUGGAAACUGGAGAACUUGAGUACAGAAGAGGAAAGCGGAAUUCCACGUGUAGCGGUGAAAUGCGUAGAGAUGUGGAGGAACACCAGUGGCGAAGGCGGCUUUCUGGUCUGUAACUGACGCUGAGGCGCGAAAGCGUGGGUAGCAAACAGGAUUAGAUACCCUGGUAGUCCACGCCGUAAACGAUGAGUGCUAAGUGUUAGGGGGUUUCCGCCCCUUAGUGCUGCAGCUAACGCAUUAAGCACUCCGCCUGGGGAGUACGGCCGCAAAGGCUG